CUCCAAGAGGAAGCCAGGACAAGGAUUAUGGCCUCCUUUUACUGAUGAGGAAAUAAAUAGAGGCCCAGAGAACCAGGGGGCUGGCUGGAAACAAAGUGAGGACAGUCAGAGGCCCGGGAGCCUGCUUCUCCUUCACUCCAUCCUCUCCCAGGUGGGGGCUCAAUGAGGGGGAGGGGCUGCUUCCUUUCCUCCUCUGUGCCCUCCCAGAUUUCCCAGAGUGCACCUGUGGCCUUUGGCCCCCACCCCCACCGAAGAGCCUGUGGGGGCCGCUCAGCAAGAAGGAAAUUCAGUGGCGCAUCUGCCCACAUUCUGGAAGGACCCCUGGUCCCCUUCUGUCAGCCCUCCCACCUGCCUCCCUCCUCGUGCCGCUCCUCUGAUCCCUCACUCCACUCCGGCUCCUGCGGCGCUGACGGAGCGGGGUGGGGGGAGUUGCUGCGUCUGGGGGUGUAAGAACCUUAGAUGUCACGGAGCUUGGAAUUGUGCCAACGGGCAGGCUGAAGGGGCCUUAAAGUGCUGCCAAGCCCUCCUCAUGCCACACCAGCUUCCCUGCAGAGCCAGGAUGGGGACCCCGAUGUCUGCCCUGUGGGCUGGAGCAGGCGGCGACUCUGUCCUGGCUGUGAGAUCUCCUCCACCGCCCCUGACUCCUACCCUGUCAGGCCCACCCCCAGUCUCUUAUCACCGCUGGAGGGGAAUCUGAGCAAUCCCCUACGGGGUGACAACCUGCAACUACAUGGCAUCGUGCACGUGGAUCCACUGCAGCAUGGAGCGGGGUCUGCAUCAGGAAAGACACUCCUCCUCUUCCCCCGGCCGCAGGCUGGAGUGCAGUGGCGUGAUCUCGGCUCGCUACAACCUCCAC
rnacentral:lncRNA from 1 species